CAGUGUUACGGCUCUUUUAGAAUUUGCCUAGCAGGUUUUCCAGCCUCUACCAGAAGACCUAU
rnacentral:snRNA from 1 species